rnacentral:ncRNA from 1 species
AUAACUUAAUAUGCUUUUCGUAUAAUUCCGGGAAUGGGCCCGGAAGUCUCUACGAGGUCACCGUAAAUGAUCUGGCUACGAGAAGAAGA